rnacentral:rRNA from 1 species
UACCAGCACCCCGAGUGGUCGGGACGAUUAUUGGGCCUAAAGCAUCCGUAGCCGGUUCUCCAAGUCUUCCGUUAAAUCCACCUGCUUAACAGAUGGGCUGCGGAGGAUACUACAAGACUAGGAGGCAGGAGAGGCAAGCGGUACUCAGUGGGUAGGGGUAAAAUCCGUUGAUCCAUUGAAGACCACCAGUGGCGAAGGCGGCUUGCCAGAACGCGCUCGACGGUGAGGGAUGAAAGCUGGGGGAGCAAACCGG